GACGAACGCUGGCGGCGUGCUUAACACAUGCAAGUCGAACGGAAAGGCCCUGCUUUUGUGGGGUGCUCGAGUGGCGAACGGGUGAGUAACACGUGAGUAACCUGCCCUUGACUUUGGGAUAACUUCAGGAAACUGGGGCUAAUACCGGAUAGGAGCUCCUGCUGCAUGGUGGGGGUUGGAAAGUUUCGGCGGUUGGGGAUGGACUCGCGGCUUAUCAGCUUGUUGGCGGGGUAGUGGCUUACCAAGGCUUUGACGGGUAGCCGGCCUGAGAGGGUGACCGGCCACAUUGGGACUGAGAUACGGCCCAGACCCCUACGGGAGGCAGCAGUGGGGAAUAUUGCACAAUGGGCGGAAGCCUGAUGCAGCAACGCCGCGUGCGGGAUGACGGCCUUCGGGUUGUAAACCGCUUUCGCCUGUGACGAAGCGUGAGUGACGGUAAUGGGUAAAGAAGCACCGGCUAACUACGUGCCAGCAGCCGCGGCGAUACGUAGGGUGCGAGCGUUGUCCGGAUUUAUUGGGCGUAAAGGGCUCGUAGGUGGUUGAUCGCGUCGGAAGUGUAAUCUUGGGGCUUAACCCUGAGCGUGCUUUCGAUACGGGUUGACUUGAGGAAGGUAGGGGAGAAUGGAAUUCCUGGUGGAGCGGUGGAAUGCGCAGAUAUCAGGAGGAACACCAGUGGCGAAGGCGGUUCUCUGGGCCUUUCCUGACGCUGAGGAGCGAAAGCGUGGGGAGCGAACAGGUUUAGAUACCCUGGUAGUCCACGCUGUAAACGGUGGGUACUAGGUGUGGGGUCCAUUCCACGGGUUCCGUGCCGUAGCUAACGCUUUAAGUACCCCGCCUGGGGAGUACGGCCGCAAGGCUAAAACUCAAAGGAAUUGACGGGGCCCCGCACAAGCGGCGGAGCAUGCGGAUUAAUUCGAUGCAACGCGUAGAACCUUACCUGGGUUUGACAUGGAUCGGGAGUGCUCAGAGAUGGGUGUGCCUCUUUUGGGGUCGGUUCACAGGUGGUGCAUGCCUGUCGUCAGCUCGUGUCGUGAGAUGUUGGGUUAAGUCCCGCAACGAGCGCAACCCUUGUUCACUGUUGCCAGCACGUUAUGGUGGGGACUCAGUGGAGACCGCCGGGGUCAACUCGGAGGAAGGUGGGGAUGACGUCAAGUCAUCAUGCCCCUUAUGUCCAGGGCUUCACGCAUGCUACAAUGGCUGGUACAGAGAGUGGCGAGCCUGUGAGGGUGAGCGAAUCUCGGAAAGCCGGUCUCAGUUCGGAUUGGGGUCUGCAACUCGACCUCAUGAAGUCGGAGUCGCUAGCAAUCGCAGAUCAGCAACGCUGCGGUGAAUACGUUCCCGGGGCU
rnacentral:rRNA from 1 species